GUCAGCUGCUCGAGCAUCACAGGCUGCGUUAACUCUUGGCGUUAGCAGAAGACCUGUAUCAAGAUGUUGUCCAUUUCUAGGACACAGCCCUGCCUGAUGCCUCGCUGAAGCUGUUUGUAACUACAGUAAAUCUGCAGCACUGCUCAAAAUCAACCUGAUUUUAGUCUCCAUAUCCAUUACGAUCAGCACAAAGAUUCAGCAAGUGCAAAAUGCCACGAUCAAAGGAAAUUCCAGAAGAUGUGAAAGAAAAGAUCAUUUUUUACCAUAAGUCUGGCAAGGGUUACAAAGCUGUUUCUAAAAUUAUGGGACUGCAUCGAUCCACUGUAAGAACUAUAAUCUCCAAAUGGAAAACACAUGGAACAGUGAUGAAUCGUCCCAGGAGUGGUCGACCCACAAAAAUUUCACCACGGACACAACGUAAAAUCAUCCAAGAAGUCGCAAAGAAACCUGGAAUAACGUCAAAAGAACUGCAGGCUUCUCUUGCUUUAGCCAAAGUCAAAGUUCAUGACUCUACAAUCCGACGGAAACUGGGCCAAAUGAGAAAACUCAAGAUGGUAUCAAAGCAAAAAACACUGCAGGAAAAGAAUAGAAAUGCUUGUGUCUUGUUUGAAAAUAAUCUCCAGGAUGAUUCCCAAGUUUAUGGAGAAAGUCCUAUAAAAACAGAAGUGGCAGAAGUGGAAGUUUUUAUUUGAUAAGAGUCCAGUGUAAAACAAACAGGCAUACUGUAAGCCAAAGUAUAUUGAUUAAAAAAAGAAAAUCUAUUUUCUACCUGUAUUCACCUCAUGGUGACUAUUUUUUUAAUAUUAUUAUUAUUUUUUUUUUUUUGUUGUUGCUGUGUCAGGUAUAAAUACAGUACUUGAACUCACUGUAUAAGGACUAAAAAAUAAUAAAAUGACUCAUCUAUAGUACUAUCCCUUUGCAAAGGAAAUAAAAAAAAGCAUGCCUGUCAA